GAGAUGUAGGAGUCGGGGGUCUGGUUGUGUUCGCGAGAGGAAGCACACGCGCUUACGCGCGUGUGCGCGUUCUUUGUUUCUUUGUGCAAGAUGGACACACUGUGUCCAAGAUAAUGCUCUACCAAAUGCAAUCGCGACCGUUUAAUGACUUGGUGAGAUCUCCGCAUGUCUACUUGGUGAAGUCCUUAUCACUGCUAUUCAUCCUGUCAAAGAUAUACCACGAUGCGCCUGCGAUCAUAUUGGAUGUUUUAUCGGGAAUGCGUGGAAAACCAACGA